AUUGAACGCUGGCGGCAUGCUUUACACAUGCAAGUCGAACGGUAACAGGCCUUCGGGUGCUGACGAGUGCGAACGGGUGAGUAAUGCAUCGGAACGUCGCCCAAUCGGUGGGGGAUAACGUAGCGAAAGUUACGCUAAUACCGCAUAAGCCCUGAGGGGAAAGUGGGGGACCGCAAGGCCUCACGCGAAUGGAGCGGCCGAUGUCAGAUUAGCUAGUUGGUGGGGUAAAGGCCCACCAAGGCGACGAUCUGUAGCGGGUCUGAGAGGAUGAUCAGCCACACUGGGACUGAGACACGGCCCAGACUCCUACGGGAGGCAGCAGUGGGGAAUAUUGGACAAUGGGCGAAAGCCUGAUCCAGCCACGCCGCGUGAGUGAUGAAGGCCUUCGGGUUGUAAAGCUCUGUCGGGAGGGACGAAGUUCUGACGGUACCUCCCAAGAAAGCGCCGGCUAACUCCGUGCCAGCAGCCGCGGUAAAGUGUGAC
rnacentral:rRNA from 1 species